rnacentral:rRNA from 1 species
GACUCACGCGGGAAUCUUACCGGGUCCGGACACACUGAGGAUUGACAGAUAUAUACCCCGUGAUUUUAUCGCGGGGUUGAAAGAUGCUAGUUCUUUCAUGAUUAUGUGAUAGGUGGUGCAUGGCCGUUCUUAGUUCGUGGAGUGAUCUGUCUGCUUAAUUGCGUAUCAAUAAUAGAGACCUAGUAUACGCGUAGACUCAUGCGGUAGUGACCCCCCUUCACAGGGCGCGUGUCGCACGUAUGUUAUACGCACAGGUCUCCGAUAGCAACGAACGUGACCGUACUCUAUUGUUGCAGCGACAAUACCUUUCAACGGGUAUUACCGCUGCUUAGCAAGAUUCGUCUUGCAUUAAACUAUAGAGACCGCUGUUUCUUCUUUAAACCAGAGGAAGGAUACGGCAAUAACAGGUCUGUGAUGCCCUCAGAUGUUCCGGGCUGCACACGUGCUACAAUGAUCAUUGCACUGUGCAUCUAACCCAAUGUGCGCGGACGCCGCCGUGCGUAUAUACUUUAUUGUGUAUGCGUAUCGUGCGUGCGACCGCGCCGAACCUGCUUCGAAAGUAAACAUUUCCAGCGGGUAAUCCAUUAGAAGUAAUGACUCGCAUAGACCAUGGCACACUAUAUGUACCCGCGGGUUCUACCCGGCUCGCCUUUGUGUGAGUGCAGUGCGUAGCUCGUUGUUUGGUACGUGCCACUCCGUAUUAAUUCAUACGUGGGGAUAGAUCAUUGUUUAAUUGUUGGUCUCGGGUCUUAACUAGGAAUGCCUUGUACGGGU